rnacentral:rRNA from 1 species
CGGAGGGUGCAAGCGUUAUCCGGAUUCACUGGGUUUAAAGGGUGCGUAGGUGGCUUUGUAAGUCAGUGGUGAAAGCCCGGAGCUCAACUCCGGAACUGCCAUUGAUACUGCUUAGCUUGAAUCAGGUCGAGGUGGAUGGAAUAUUACAUGUAGCGGUGAAAUGCUUAGAUAUGUAAUAGAACACCGAUUGCGAAGGCAGUUCACUAGGCCUGUAUUGACACUGAGGCACGAAAGCGUGGGGAUCAAACAGGAUUAGAUACCCUGGUAGUCCACGCCCUAAACGAUGUAUACUCGACAUAUGCGAUACACUGUAUGUGUCCAAGCGAAAGCGUUAAGUAUACCACCUGGGAAGUACGACCGCAAGGUUG